ACGCUCGACACCUACUGGAGGCAGCAGUGGGGAAUAUUGCACAAUGGGGGAAACCCUGAUGCAGCAACGCCGCGUGAAGGAAGACGGUUUUCGGAUUGUAAACUUCUGUUCUUAGUGAAGAUAGUGACGGUAGCUAAGGAGCUAGCCACGGCUAACUACGUGCCAACAGCCGCGGUAAUCUGAGCGGGCUGGCAAGGC
rnacentral:rRNA from 1 species